AUUGGAGAGUUUGAUCCUGGCUCAGGACGAACGCUGGCGGCAUGCCUAAUACAUGCAAGUCGAGCGGACUUGAUGAGAAGCUUGCUUCUCUGAUGGUUAGCGGCGGACGGGUGAGUAACACGUAGGCAACCUGCCCUCAAGUUUGGGACAACUACCGGAAACGGUAGCUAAUACCGAAUAGUUGUUUUCUUCUCCUGAAGAGAACUGGAAAGACG
rnacentral:rRNA from 1 species